rnacentral:rRNA from 1 species
AAAUGAAUAGACGGGGGCCCGCACAAGCAGUGGAGUAUGUGGAUUAAUUCGACGCAACGCGAAGAACCUUACCAAGGCUUGACAUCCUGCUAACGAAACAGAGAUGUAUUAGGUGCCCUUCGGGGAAAGCAGAGACAGGUGGUGCAUGGUUGUCGUCAGCUCGUGUCGUGAGAUGUUGGGUUAAGUCCCGCAACGAGCGCAACCCUUACGGUUUGUUACUACGAAAGAGGACUCAAGCCGGACUGCCGUUGACAAAACGGAGGAAGGUGGGGACGACGUCAAAUCAUCAUGCCCUUUAUGUCUUGGGCUUCACACGUACUACAAUGGCAAUUAACAAAGCGAGGCAAACACGCGAGUGGGAGCGAAACGCUAAAAAUUGUCCCAGUUCAGAUUGCAGGCUGCAACUCGCCUGCAUGAAGUUGGAAUUGCUAGUAAUCGCGGAUCAGCAUGCCGCGGUGAAUACGUUCCCGGGCCUUGUACACACCGCCCGU